rnacentral:misc_RNA from 1 species
UACGACCACUGUAUGGUACGAUACUCCAACAACAAUUUCUUCUCCAUCAUGGAGCUGAAGCCUUCUGUUAUCAAGACGAAUGGAGAGAAUAUAUCACGCCCAGAUUUCAUAGUAAAACUGCGAGAUAUAAUGAAUCAGUUGGUUUCCUGUUUGGUCAGGCACUCUCAGUCAUCGGACAAGAAGUUUGCCACUAGGAAGGAUAAAUUUGCACUGUUUCAGUUGUUCAGCUCUGCGGAGUGCGUACCUGAUAUCUCUGCAUUUAAUUGUUCAGAGUGUUUGAGAAAAGCCAUUUCAUAUCUUCCAAGUUGCUGCAGUGGAAAAAUAGGGGGUAGGAUCUUACUUCCCAGUUGUUCCAUUCGGUACGAGACAUACUCUUUCUAUAGCAGCCCAGAAGCUCAUGGUCACGCAGCUUUGUUGCGAAUCAUUGGUGCCGUUGCUUCUUCAGCUGUUGUUGCGAUGAUGGUUUUUGCUGUAGUUUACAGGUUCUUUAUAAGGAAAAGGUUGAAGAAGUCCAGCAG